ensembl:lncRNA
AUGUCUUUCCUACUACUACAUUGGAAUGCUAGGAGUCUAAUAGCAAAUGGUCAAGAAUUUAAAAAACAUAUCUCAGAAAUGGAAAAGGCACCAGACAUCAUGUGCAUCCAAGAGACAUGGUUAAAUAAUUCUCUGGACUUUAAGAUUAAUGGAUAUGUAGUAGAGAGGAAAGACAGAGUAACUGGAAGAGGGGGAGGGUGUGCAACAUUUAUUAAAGAAGGUAUAGUGUAUAAGAGAAUAAAUACAAAUAAUAAUAUAGAGUGUGUAAGUAUAGAAGUAAUGGGGAGGCAUGAAGAAAUUAGAAUUUCAAACUAUUAUAACCCAUGCAAAGAAAUAAAUAAUAGUAUUCUAGAAGAUGUGAUGGGUGAUUCAAAGGGUAAAAUUAUUAUAUGUGGGGAUUUUAAUGCACAUAAUGGUCUAUGGGGUAGUAAGAAUACAGACAAUAAUGGAUCGGUUGUAGAAGAAUUUAUAGAAGAACACUCAUUAGUAUGUUUGAAUGAUGGGAAAUCAACAAGAAUGGAUAUAGGUAAAGGCGGACUGUCAUGUUUAGAUCUCACAAUAACAUCAGCUGCAUUAGCAGGUAAGUGCACUUGGAGCGUACAAGAAGAUAAUUUGGGUAGUGAUCACUGGCCUGUAGUGUGUGAGAUUCAGAGUGCAGUACAAAAGCAAAGUGUCAACCAGUGUGCAAGGUGGGGAUUUAAACAGGCAAGGUGGGAAGAGUUUUAUGUGCUGUGUGAAGAAAAUUUCAAAAAUAUGAAGAUAGAAGGGAAUAUUGAGGAGAGAUAUACAAAAGUAGUAAAUGGAAUUAUUUUAGCAGCGAAUCUAUCUAUACCAUUAAUAAGAGGAAAUGGGAAAAGAAAGAAAAUUGUUCCAUGGUGGUCCGAAGAAUGCACAAUGGCAAUUAAAGAAAGGAAUAAGGCAUUCCGGGUCUUAAAAAGGUUAAUAACUCAAGAUACAGUAAUAGAUUAUCAGAAAAAAAGGGCAGUUGCAAGAAGGGUAAUUAAAAGUGCAAAGAGAAAAGCAUGGCAGGAGUUCUGUAACACAAUUGGGAGAGAGACUGGAAUGCAUGUUGUAUGGAGAAUGAUAAGGAAAAUGAAUGGUAUUAAUACUCAUAAACAAAUUCCUGUAAUUGAGGAAGACGGAAAGGUGGCCAGUACAGAUAAAGAAAAGAUAGAAACAUUGGCCAAAACAUUUGCUAAAGUCCAUAGUAUUGAAAACUUGAGUGAUAAGUUAUUAAAAAGAAGACAAGAGUUAAAUAAAAUGUAUGAGAAUGUCUGCAUGAAAAAACAAGAAGUUGAUAGUAACAUGGAUGAUGAUUUUAAUCUUUUUGAACUAAAAAUUGCUAUUAGCAAUUCAAAGGAUACAACACCAGGAAGAGAUAGGAUCAGC